GGAGCAGCAGGGAGGAAGGAGAUAGUCGUAACACCAGCUUCCUUCAAACUCGUGUCAGCUGCUCUCUCUCUAUUUUACACGCUGAAGCCUCGCAUGGAUUGCAUUACCCUCAGGCUGCGAAGGAGGCGUAGGGAGAAUGCUUUCGGUUGCUUGGCUGCAGGCACCCGGAUGGGCCAGAGGGGUCGCUGGAGAACGACGAGUCCCCGAACACUACACCGAUCUACACCCACUAUCCCUCAGGAAACCGGAGCACCCGGAGGAAACCCAUGCAGACGUGGGGAGAACAUGCAAACUCCACACAGAAAGGACCUGAGACAGGCUGGGGUUCGAACCCAGGACCUUCUUGCUGUGAGGCAACAGUGCUAACCAGUGGGCCACCGUGCCAUCCAGGGAAUGACCAUCCUUGAACGGGGGGGCUAAGAGUGCAUCUGUCGCCAUCUUACGAUGCUGUGAUUGCAAAAUCCUCUGUGAAUAGUACACAUGGCCAUUGAAACUAAUGGUCAUGCUCAUAUUUGCAUAUGAAACUGGUCAUUGGUUUCGGUCGUUAUGCAGCUGUAUUGUUUAUAAGGGUUGGGAUUACUGACUUCAGUUUAGACCAAAGAGGUCACUUAGAUGAGUGAACAUAUCUGUCAAUAAAACGGUGUA